GUGCUGGUUUGGGCAGCGCAUAUGCUAAAAUUGGAAUGAUGCAGGGCUUCGAAGCAUGGUCCCUGCCCAAAGAUGACAUUCAUAUUAUUGAAAAGUUCCAUGCUUUU
ensembl:snRNA U6 U6 spliceosomal RNA